rnacentral:tRNA from 1 species
GUCAAUAUAGUUUAACAAAAACAUCAUACUUUCAUUAUGUAAUUAGAUUAUUAUAAUCUUAUUGAUU